GCGGGCGUGGCGGAAUGGCAGACGCUGUGGUCUUAAACACCACUCUGGUAACAGGUACGGGUUCGAAUCCCGUCGCCCGCA
rnacentral:tRNA from 1 species